AGAGGCGAUGAAGGGCGUGCUAAUCUGCGAUAAGCGCCGGUAAGGUGAUAUGAACCGUUAUAACCGGCGAUACCCGAAUGGGGAAACCCAGUGUGACUCGUCACACUAUCAUUAACUGAAUCCAUAGGUUAAUGAGGCGAACCGGGGGAACUGAAACAUCUAAGUACCCCGAGGAAAAGAAAUCAACCGAGAUUCCCCCAGUAGCGGCGAGCGAACGGGGAGGAGCCCAGAGCCUGAAUCAGCAUGUGUGUUAGUGGAAGCGUCUGGAAAGGCGCGCGAUACAGGGUGACAGCCCCGUACACAAAAGCGCAUGUGCUGUGAGCUCGAUGAGUAGGGCGGGACACGUGGUAUCCUGUCUGAAUAUGGGGGGACCAUCCUCCAAGGCUAAAUACUCCUGACUGACCGAUAGUGAACCAGUACCGUGAGGGAAAGGCGAAAAGAACCCCGGCGAGGGGAGUGAAAAAGAACCUGAAACCGUGUACGUACAAGCAGUGGGAGCACAGGUUUACCUGUGUGACUGCGUACCUUUUGUAUAAUGGGUCAGCGACUUAUAUUCUGUAGCAAGGUUAACCGAAUAGGGGAGCCGGAGGGAAACCGAGUCUUAAUUGGGCGUUAAGUUGCAGGGUAUAGACCCGAAACCCGGUGAUCUAGCCAUGGGCAGGUUGAAGGUUGGGUAACACUAACUGGAGGACCGAACCGACUAAUGUUGAAAAAUUAGCGGAUGACCUGUGGCUGGGGGUGAAAGGCCAAUCAAACCGGGAGAUAGCUGGUUCUCCCCGAAAGCUAUUUAGGUAGCGCCUCGUGAAUUCAUCUCCGGGGGUAGAGCACUGUUUCGGCUAGGGGGCCAUCCCGGCUUACCAACCCGAUGCAAACUGCGAAUACCGGAGAAUGUUAUCACGGGAGACACACGGCGGGUGCUAACGUCCGUCGUGAAGAGGGAAACAACCCAGACCGCCAGCUAAGGUCCCAAAGUCAUGGUUAAGUGGGAAACGAUGUGGGAAGGCCCAGACAGCCAGGAUGUUGGCUUAGAAGCAGCCAUCAUUUAAAGAAAGCGUAAUAGCUCACUGGUCGAGUCGGCCUGCGCGGAAGAUGUAACGGGGCUAAACCAUGCACCGAAGCUGCGGCAGCGACACUGUGUGUUGUUGGGUAGGGGAGCGUUCUGUAAGCCUGUGAAGGUGUGUCGUGAGGCAUGCUGGAGGUAUCAGAAGUGCGAAUGCUGACAUAAGUAACGAUAAAGCGGGUGAAAAGCCCGCUCGCCGGAAGACCAAGGGUUCCUGUCCAACGUUAAUCGGGGCAGGGUGAGUCGACCCCUAAGGCGAGGCCGAAAGGCGUAGUCGAUGGGAAACGGGUUAAUAUUCCCGUACUUGGUGUUACUGCGAAGGGGGGACGGAGAAGGCUAUGUUGGCCGGGCGACGGUUGUCCCGGUUUAAGCGUGUAGGUGUGUGUUCCAGGUAAAUCCGGUUCACUUUAACACUGAGGCGUGACGACGAGGCACUACGGUGCUGAAGCAACAAAUGCCCUGCUUCCAGGAAAAGCCUCUAAGCAUCAGGUAACAUCAAAUCGUACCCCAAACCGACACAGGUGGUCAGGUAGAGAAUACCAAGGCGCUUGAGAGAACUCGGGUGAAGGAACUAGGCAAAAUGGUGCCGUAACUUCGGGAGAAGGCACGCUGACACGUAGGUGAAGUGAUUUACUCAUGGAGCUGAAGUCAGUCGAAGAUACCAGCUGGCUGCAACUGUUUAUUAAAAACACAGCACUGUGCAAACACGAAAGUGGACGUAUACGGUGUGACGCCUGCCCGGUGCCGGAAGGUUAAUUGAUGGGGUCAGCGCAAGCGAAGCUCCUGAUCGAAGCCCCGGUAAACGGCGGCCGUAACUAUAACGGUCCUAAGGUAGCGAAAUUCCUUGUCGGGUAAGUUCCGACCUGCACGAAUGGCGUAAUGAUGGCCAGGCUGUCUCCACCCGAGACUCAGUGAAAUUGAACUCGCUGUGAAGAUGCAGUGUACCCGCGGCAAGACGGAAAGACCCCGUGAACCUUUACUAUAGCUUGACACUGAACAUUGAGCCUUGAUGUGUAGGAUAGGUGGGAGGCUUUGAAGUGUGGACGCCAGUCUGCAUGGAGCCGACCUUGAAAUACCACCCUUUAAUGUUUGAUGUUCUAACGUGGACCCGUUACCCGGGUUGCGGACAGUGUCUGGUGGGUAGUUUGACUGGGGCGGUCUCCUCCUAAAGAGUAACGGAGGAGCACGAAGGUUGGCUAAUCCUGGUCGGACAUCAGGAGGUUAGUGCAAUGGCAUAAGCCAGCUUGACUGCGAGCGUGACGGCGCGAGCAGGUGCGAAAGCAGGUCAUAGUGAUCCGGUGGUUCUGAAUGGAAGGGCCAUCGCUCAACGGAUAAAAGGUACUCCGGGGAUAACAGGCUGAUACCGCCCAAGAGUUCAUAUCGACGGCGGUGUUUGGCACCUCGAUGUCGGCUCAUCACAUCCUGGGGCUGAAGUAGGUCCCAAGGGUAUGGCUGUUCGCCAUUUAAAGUGGUACGCGAGCUGGGUUUAGAACGUCGUGAGACAGUUCGGUCCCUAUCUGCCGUGGGCGCUGGAGAACUGAGGGGGGCUGCUCCUAGUACGAGAGGACCGGAGUGGACGCAUCACUGGUGUUCGGGUUGUCAUGCCAAUGGCACUGCCCGGUAGCUAAAUGCGGAAGAGAUAAGUGCUGAAAGCAUCUAAGCACGAAACUUGCCCCGAG
rnacentral:rRNA from 1 species